UGUUCCUCCCUCUCCCACACUGCCUUCAUCCCCCCCACCCUCUGCUGCUCCCAGAACCAGGACUCUUGUAUCUAGGCAGGAGCUGGUGACUCCCGCCCCACACUUCUCAAGGCCUUAUGCCAGCUGUAGCUCUUACCUCCCUGACACUAUAGAGCAGGCACCUGUACCCACAGAGGAUAAGGCACCUCAGCAGGUUAAGGUGCCUUGAAGACUCUUCUGAAGGCCUCUCUUGAAUGCCAGACUCUCGAAGCCAUCGGCCCACAGACACCUUUCCCCACCUGCGCUGGAGGUUUCCGAGUUGGCCAGUCCGAAGCUGAGCUCACUGCCUUCUCCUGCCAUGCAGCACCCUCCCCCUCCCCUGCCCCGCCUC
ensembl:antisense Gm15864 predicted gene 15864